rnacentral:rRNA from 1 species
UACGUAGGGGGCAAGCGUUGUCCGGAUUUAUUGGGCGUAAAGAGCGUGUAGGCGGCCAAGCAGGUCCGCUGUGAAAACUCGAGGCUCAACCUCGAGACGUCGGUGGAAACCGUUUGGCUAGAGUCCGGAAGAGGAGAGUGGAAUUCCCGGUGUAGCGGUGAAAUGCGCAGAUAUCGGGAAGAACACCCGUGGCGAAGGCGGCUCUCUGGGACGGUACUGACGCUGAGACGCGAAAGCGUGGGGGAGCAAACAGG